rnacentral:lncRNA from 1 species
UGGGAUGGGGAGGAGCCCAGGAGGCAUGGCUGAAAACCUUCUGUCCCAUGUAGGUGGAAAUUACUGCCUACCAGGUCACUGGAGUUCUAGACCUUUGGUCAAUAGGGGACCAGGCUAUGUAUGUACACAGCCCACUGCCCCAGUUUUAGCUGAAAACAGGAACCUUUAUCCCUAGAAGAAAGAAAUCAGAUAGGAACUGGGGAUGAGGUAUAUCAAGGCCGGACCAAUCACUCUUUUGUGUGUGAGCUAAUAGAUGGCUUUUUCUUCAAGUGUCACCAGAAUCAGAAAAGGUGGUCUAGGGAGAAGGACCAGUUUGUUCAUUAAUGUCCCAUGUAUCUCUAUAUGAAAAAGCUUUCAAGGGCAGAAGCUCUGUGUAUAUUUGUUACCCUUCAGGGCCACAAAUAACGGCUGAAGAAAUAGAUUUCGGAUAAAAUGAUACUCUAAAAGGAAAGUGCCAUCAUUUUGGCAAUGCAGUACUGCUCUUACUGUAGAGAGACUGUGCUUGAGAGACACACACUCAUGGUCUUUCACUCUCUCUUCAUUCAUCGAGGGGAACUUCUUGGCUGCCAUUUCUGGAUGUCAAGGCUGCAGAUACACUGGUCAGGACCCUGGGUAGAGAGAGAUGCGUCAGAAUGCGGCUCCUUUCAGAAAGGCUUCUCCGGAGGUCAGCACUCGGGCAAAAGGCUGUGUGUGAUGUGUUUGGGAACACAAAGGUUGGUGAGGUCAGCUGACUACUAGAAGACAGAUCUAUUUGAAGAUUUUUGUGGUGGUCUUUACUACUCCAGAGAUUUACAGCUGAUGAAAAAUGGAGAAGUACAUGACCCUACCCUGCUGUUGGACAUGCUACCCAAGGAUCAUGACUGACAACUUGUCAACAUCACUAUUGCUUAUUUAAUAAAUGUGCAGUACUACUUCAAUAAACCUGGAA